CAGUUCGAUGUACGAAUGAAAUUUUGAAGCUUUCCGGGCAGUUCUCAUUACCAGGCGCUAUCGUUGAUAUCUCCUCUUUUGAGUCCAUACGUUUAAUCUUAUACGUUUGCUAUUAAUGCUAUUAAUGCUAUUAAUGCUAUUAAUGCUAUUAAUGCUAUUAAUGCUAUUAUGUUUAAUGGGAGUCAGUAUGUCCACAAGAAUUAAAGGUUUGGUAAAAUGGUUUAACGAAGAUAAAGGUUUUGGUUUUAUUUCACCUCUUGACGGAAGCAAAGAUGUCUUCGUCCAUUUCUCCGCACUCCAUGGUGAGAAUUUCAAUACCUUAUUUGAAGGACAGAAAGUUGAGUUCGCCAUGCAGAGUGGUGAAAAAGGGCCUGCUGCUACAAACGUAAUA
rnacentral:sRNA from 1 species